GUACUCACUCUGGCAGCACACAUACUAAAAUUGGAACAACUCAGAGCAGGGUAACAUGGCUCCCACACAAGGAUGACAUGAACAUUUUCGACACAAUCCGUAUUAAA
ensembl:snRNA U6 U6 spliceosomal RNA